GAGAGUCGAAUAUUUAGAUAAGGAAUAUUUAUAUAAGGAAUCUUUUGAUCUGGGCAUACUUGAAAAAAGGACUCGAUUUUCUAAUUAUGAAACUAAUGAAGAAACUAAUAAUGAAACUAAUAAUGAAACUAAUAAUGAAACUAAUAAUGAAGAAACUACUACUGAAACUAAUAAUGAAACUAAUAAUGAAACUAAUAAUGAAACUAAUAAUGAAACUAAUAAUGAAACUAAAAGAAAUAAUGAAAUUAAAAGAAAUAAUGAAACUAAUAAUGAAACUAAUAAUGAAACUAAUAAUGAAACUAAAAGAAAUAAUGAAACUAAAAGAAAUAAUGAAACUAAAAGAAAUAAUGAAACUAAUAAUGAAACUAAUAAUGAAACUAAUAAUGAAACUAAAAUAAAAUACUUGCCUAAAAUAUAUGAUCCUUUCUUGCAGGGACCCUACCGCGGAAGAAUCAAAAAAUUGUUUUCACCUUUAAGUGAAAAAACAAACACGGAUCCGUUUUGGAUAAAUAAGAUUCAUGUUAUACUUCUUGCUACUGAUUAUUACGAAUUUGAACAGACAAUAGAUACACUCAAAUCAUUAUCAACAGAAAAAGAACUUUCUUUAUUGACAGAAACAGAAGAUGAACAGACAAUAGAUACACUCAAAUCAUUAUCAACAGAAAAAGAACUUUCUUUAUUGACAGAAACAGAAGAUGAACAGACAAUAGAUACACUCAAAUCAUUAUCAACAGAAAAAGAACUUUCUUUAUUGACAGAAACAGAAGAUGAACAGACAAUAGAUACACUCAAAUCAUUAUCAACAGAAAAAGAACUUUCUUUAUUGACAGAAACAGAAGAUGAACAGACAAUAGAUACACUCAAAUCAUUAUCAACAGAAAAAGAACUUUCUUUAUUGACAGAAACAGAAGAUGAACAGACAAUAGAUACACUCAAAUCAUUAUCAACAGAAAAAGAACUUUCUUUAUUGACAGAAACAGAAGAUGAACAGGGAAAUAUCGAUUCCGAGGAUCGAGUCAAAAUUUUGAAAUUUUUAUGCAAUAUAGUUAUAACUAAUCCCGAC
rnacentral:lncRNA from 1 species